rnacentral:tRNA from 1 species
CGGACGUAGCCAAGGCAGUGGAUUGUGAAUCCACCAUGCGCG